UGAGACCUCUUGAUGGCCGCGGCCGUGAUCUUCAUUGGGAUCGGCUGAGGAACUUCCGGGCUCCAUAGAGCACGAUGGCGGAUAACGUCCGCCCAGGGUGACCUGAGAGAUAGCGCAACAGAGAACAGACCGCCCGUCCUCGACGGGUAAGGGUGAAACGGCGGUGUAAGAGACCACCGGGCCUCUGGUAACAGUAGGUCGCAUGGCAAGCCUCAUCGGGAGCAAGGCCAAGCAGAUGGCGGUAAGGGCUGCUCGCCCGUGUCAUCGGGUAGGCUGCUAGAGCCUGGCGGUAACGUCAGGUCGAGAUGGAUGGCCAUCCAUGCCGUGCGUUCGCGCACGGCACGACAGAACCCGGGGUAUAAGAGGUCUCAUUUU
rnacentral:RNase_P_RNA from 1 species